rnacentral:rRNA from 1 species
GAUGAACGCUGGCUACAGGCUUAACACAUGCAAGUCGAGGGGAAACGACGGGGAAGCUUGCUUCCCCGGGCGUCGACCGGCGCACGGGUGAGUAACGCGUAUCCAACCUGCCUCUGACUGAGGGAUAACCCGUCGAAAGUCGGCCUAAUACCUCAUGGUAUCGUCUGCGGGCAUCCAACGACGAUUAAAGAUUUCAUCGGUCAGGGAUGGGGAUGCGUCUGAUUAGCUUGUUGGCGGGGUAACGGCCCACCAAGGCUACGAUCAGUAGGGGUUCUGAGAGGAAGGUCCCCCACAUUGGAACUGAGACACGGUCCAAACUCCUACGGGAGGCAGCAGUGAUGAAUAUUGGUCAAUGGGCGGGAGCCUGCACCAGCCAAGUAGCGUGCAGGAAGACGGCCCUAUGGGUUGUAAACUGCUUUUAUGCGGGGAUAAAGUGAGGGACGUGUCCCUCAUUGCAGGUACCGCAUGAAUAAGGACCGGCUAAUUCCGUG